AAUUCUCAACCCCCCUAUUUUGUAAUGAGAUAGGCUAAGGGGCUUGGUUUAUGGCUGCCUGCAGGACUUUAUCAGUUCGGCUCAGCUGAAAUACACGAGUUGCCUUUAUCACAAUUAAUCCUUGACGGCUUGACUCGGCGUAAUAACUAUUAUCGCUGGGAACGUCUCGGUCGUUGUUGAUAGACGGUGCUUCUAAUCCUACACACUUUAAGC
rnacentral:misc_RNA from 1 species